GCAGACACAUUCCAGCCAAUCAGCAGCAGACCCUCCCUCCCUGACCUCCCACCUCCAGCAUCCCUUUUACAUUCAUUGUGAAGCUGCAUUCUUAGUGAGGUGUCCAGGAGGUGGGAGGGUCUGGGAGGGAGGCUCUGCUGCUGAUUGGCUGGAAUGUGUCU
rnacentral:miRNA from 1 species